rnacentral:misc_RNA from 1 species
ACCAGAGAAAAACUCUUCGACAGGUAUGAAUUGGUUUCACAAUUGAUGUUUCUAUUUAAAUUAGUAGUUUAGAUAGGUUCAUAUUUAGUUUUUGUGGGCUUUGGAUGAGUUAAUUAUAAGUCUAGUAAGAAAUAUUAUAUGAAUACGGUGUUGAUGGUUCUUUAACAUAAGGAUAAGUUUAUUUUUCUGGGUAUCUUUUUGUUAAGGAUUGUUCUUUUUUUGUUUGGGGCAUGAAAAACCUGAA